GACGAACGCUGGCGGCGUGCUUAACACAUGCAAGUCGAACGGUAAGGCCCUUCGGGGUCCUCGAGUGGCGAACGGGUGAGUAACACGUGGGUAAUCUGCCCUGCACAUCGGGAUAAGCCUGGGAAACUGGGUCUAAUACCGAAUAGGACCACAGGACACAUGUCCUGUGGUGGAAAGCUUUUGCGGUGUGGGAUGGGCCCGCGGCCUAUCAGCUUGUUGGUGGGGUGAUGGCCUACCAAGGCGACGACGUGUAGCCGGCCUGGGAGGGUGUCCGGCGACACUGGGACUGAGAUACGGACCAGAGUGAGACGGGGGGGGGCAGUGGGGAAUAUUGCACAAAGGGCGAAAGACUGAUGCAGCGACGCAGCGUGGGGGAUGACGGCCUUCGGGUUGUAAACCUCUUUCACCAUCGACGAAGGUCCGGAUUUUCUCGGGCUGACGGUAGGUGGAGAAGAAGCACCGGCCAACUACGUG
rnacentral:rRNA from 1 species